CCUACGGGAGGCUGCAGUAGGGAAUCUUCCACAAUGGGCGAAAGCCUGAUGGAGCAACGCCGCGUGGGUGAAGAAGGUUUUCGGAUCGUAAAGCCCUGUUGUUAGAGAAGAAAGUGCGUGAGAGUAACUGUUCACGCUUCGAUGGUUUCUAACCAGCAAGCCACGGCUAACUACGUGCCAGCAGCCGCGGUAAUACGUAGGUGGCAAGCGUUAUCCGGAUUUAUUGGGCGUAAAGGGAACGCAGGCGGUCUUUUAAGCCUGAUGUGAAAGCCUGGGGCUUAACCGGAGUAGUGCAUUGGAAACUGGGGGACUUGAGUGCAGAAGAGGAGAGUGGAACUCCAUGUGUAGCGGUGAAAUGCGUAGAUAUAUGGAGGAACACCAGUGGCGAAAGCGGCUCUCUGGUCUGUAACUGACGCUGAGGUUCGAAAGCGUGGGUAGCAAACAGGAUUAGAUACCCUAGUAGUC
rnacentral:rRNA from 1 species